CCGUUGAGAAAGACGAGUUCAGAGCAAUGAUUAAAACACUGGAUUUAAGAUGUCUCGCCUCGCUGAAAUACGUCCGCCCACCUGCUUACAUUAUUCAAACACCGAAGGAGGCUGACAGCGGAGCUCCGUUCAGUCGCCCACUACAACAACACUACAACCUAACUUACCUGUGGCGAAGUUCACCAGUGUGGCCAACCAAGGACUGGAGCACACAGCAUUUUAAUCUGUCAAGAUGUCACCAGCUCCGGACAAGAGGGAAAGAGAGACAGAGUUGGGGGUUAUGUUUGGAUGGAAAGAGAGAUAUGACACCCAACAGUCAAUGCCGACAUCUCAACACAGUUCACUGAGUUGUACAACAGUCUGCUGACAGUGCUCUUCUUCAUUCAGUAUAACUAUGAGCUCAUAACCUCAUUGAUGGUGUGAGGAUAAGUGUUAAUGUUGCCAUUGGUAGCAGCUGAUUCCCAAGACAACUGCAGUGAUGUUGCACAAUAAGCUCCUGGACAGCUUUUAUAGGCAAACAUGC